CCUACGGGUGGCAGCAGUGAGGAAUAUUGGUCAAUGGGCGCGAGCCUGACCCAGCCACGUAGCGUGAAGGAUGACUGCCCUACGGGUUGUAAACUUCUUUUAUAAAGGAAUAAAGUGAGGCACGUGUGCCUUUUUGUGUGUACUUUAUGACUAAGGAUCGGCUAACUCCGUGCCAGACGCCUCGGUAGUACGGAGGAUCCGCGCGUUAUCCGGAUUUAUUGGGGGUGACGGGAGCGUAGAUGGGUGCGUAAGUCCGGUGUGAAAGUUUGCGGCUCAACCGUAAAAUUGCAAUUGAUACUGGCAGCCUUGAGUACAGUUGAGGUAGGUGGAAUUCGUGGUGUAGCGGUGAAAUGCUUAGAUAUCACGAAGAACUCCGAUUGCGAAGGCAGGUUACUAAACUGCCACUGACAUUGAUGCUCGAAAGUGUGGGUAUCAAACAGGAUUAGAUACCCCUGUAGUC
rnacentral:rRNA from 1 species